rnacentral:rRNA from 1 species
CCAAAGGGAAUGCCUUAGUAGCGGCGAGUGAAGCGGCAAAAGCUCAAAUUUGAAAUCUGGCUCUUUCAGAGUCCGAGUUGUAAUUUGAAGAAGGUAUCUUUGGGUCUGGCUCUUGUCUAUGUUUCUUGGAACAGAACGUCACAGAGGGUGAGAAUCCCGUGCGAUGAGAUGAUCCAGGCCUAUGUAAAGUUCCUUCGAAGAGUCGAGUUGUUUGGGAAUGCAGCUCUAAGUGGGUGGUAAAUUCCAUCUAAAGCUAAAUAUUGGCGAGAGACCGAUAGCGAACAAGUACAGUGAUGGAAAGAUGAAAAGAACUUUGAAAAGAGAGUGAAAAAGUACGUGAAAUUGUUGAAAGGGAAGGGCUUGAGAUCAGACUUGGUAUUUUGUAUGUUACUUCUUCGGGGGUGGCCUCUACAGUUAAUCGGGCCAUCAUCAGUUUGGGCGGUAGGAGAAAUGAGUUGGAAUGACGCACGUCUUCAGCUGCGGG